CCCAGUAAACGGCGGCCGUAACUAUAACGGUCCUAAGGUAGCGAAAUUCCUUGUCAGGUAAGUUCUGACCCGCACGAAUGGCGUAAUGACUUGGGCACUGUCUCAACUGCAAAUCCGGCGAAGUUGUAGUGCGAGUGAAGAUGCUCGCUACCCGCGAUUGGACGGAAAGACCCCGUAGAGCUUUACUGCAGCUUAGCAUUGAAUUCCGGUAUUGUCUGUACAGGAUAGGUGGGAGACUGGGAAACUAGGGCGUCAGCCUUAGUGGAGUCAACCUUGGGAUACCACCCUGACAGUACUGGGGUUCUAACAGGACGCCAUGAAACUGGUGACUGGACAUUGUUAGGUGGGCAGUUUGACUGGGGCGGUCGCCUCCUAAAAAGUAACGGAGGCGCCCAAAGGUUCCCUCAGAACGGUCGGAAAUCGUUCGUAGAGUGCAAAGGCAAAAGGGAGCCUGACUGCGAGACCUACAAGUCGAGCAGGGACGAAAGUCGGGCUUAGUGAUCCGGUGGUACCUCGUGGGAGGGCCAUCGCUCAACGGAUAAAAGCUACCUCGGGGAUAACAGGCUGAUCUCCCCCAAGAGUCCACAUCGACGGGGAGGUUUGGCACCUCGAUGUCGGCUCGUCGCAUCCUGGGGCUGUAGUAGGUCCCAAGGGUUGGGCUGUUCGCCCAUUAAAGCGGCACGCGAGCUGGGUUCAGAACGUCGUGAGACAGUUCGGUCCCUAUCCGUCGCGGGCGUAGGAAAUUUGAGAGGAGCUGUCCUUAGUACGAGAGGACCGGGAUGGACUGACCUCUGGUGCACCAGUUGUUCCGCCAGGAGCACGGCUGGGUAGCUAAGUCGGGAAGGGAUAAACGCUGAAAGCAUCUAAGCGUGAAGCCUCCCUCAAGAUGAGAUUUCCCAUAGCAUAAGCUAGUAAGACCCCUUGAAGAACACAAGGUUGAUAGGUCAGAGGUGUAAGUGCGGUAACGUAUGUAGCUGACUGAUACUAAUAGGUCGAGGGCUUGACCAA
rnacentral:rRNA from 1 species